CGCACCUUGCGCUCUCUGGUAUUCCGGAGAGCAUGCCUGUUUGAGUGUCAUGAACUCUUCAACCCACCAGUUUCUUGUUAAAUUGGAUGGUGUUUGGAUUUUGAGUGUUGCUGGACUUUUAGUCGUAGCUCAUUCGUAAUACAUUAGCAUCUCAAUUUCGAAUUUCGGAUUGACUCAGCGUGAUAGACUAUUCGCUGAGGACACCUUUGGGUGGCCGAAUGAGAAGACUUAGAAGCUUAUAAUCAGAUCUUAGUCAAUUUUAGAUUAGACCUCAGAUCAGGCAGGAUUACCCGCUGAACUUAA
rnacentral:misc_RNA from 1 species